GGGUCACAUGUCUUAAAUAUAUAAAGUAAAAAUAAAUUCCGGCAUUCCGGCCUUAAAUAUUAUAAUUCCAGCCGGAACUGAAAUAACCUAAAAGUCACAAAUUCCGGCCGGAAUUCCAGUACAUCUCUACAGUAAAUUAGUAAUUUAUAUUUAUAAUUUCUAUUUUUUUAAAUUUGUCUGUUUGAUAGAAUGCUAUUUAAGUUCAUCAUUUCCUUGAUGAACCUAUUAAAAUUGCUCUCAUUUAACCAGAAUAUUGUGUAAAAGCUUUGUCACCUCAAGAAAGCAGGUGGAAAAAAUGUUAUCGUCAAGUAUUUUUGUUCAACUCUGGAUAAUGAAACAGUUUAAAUAAAUUAUGGAACAUCAUGUUAUGGCCAAGUUGAAUUGGAAAGGCAAAGUUCGUGGUGAUAUAAAAAAGGUAUCAUUCGAAGAUAAAAAGUUGUGUAAAGCAAUAAUUGAAGUCAUCCAGCCAAUGCACAAGUCUUUGACGGAAGCACAAAUAAAAAAAUUAAAUAGGAAGCAUUUUAAAGUUCUCUCCAUUUGUUAUUGGUAGCAAAAAAAAAUUAAUUAAAGAAGCAAGUGAUUGUCGAACAAUUAUUUAUUUUUGAGUUUUUUGUAAAUUUAAAAUAUAUGCUAUAUACAAAAGAAUAUA